GCACAUAGUGCCCGAGAGCGCGUCACUUCCGGCGUCACAGACGGUCUUUACAAGCGACUCGUGGGCGUCAAUACUGGGCUGAGUUUGUGGCGCGCUUAGUGAUGGGAUGGCCCUGUGCAGGACGCCGACACGAAAAGAUGAAGAGUUCAAUCCGUGCUGUCUGAACUCACAGUGUAGCAGGCGAGAUAGACGGGAAGAUCGGUAGGGUGGGAGAUGCCGGAAAGGCUUCCCGUGAGACUGGAUAAGAAAUCAAAAAUCUGGUGAAAUUGCCGGCAAGAGGGAGUUAAGGACAUUCCAGGCAGAGGCAAGUCCAGAUUCCUAAGAUGAGGACACAGCAUCCUGGGCCACUGUCACUAAUACAAAUUUGCCUCUGGAGGGACUCUACGGAAGAUAAUUCCCCUGAAAUUUGGAGAGUUGAAUUAAGCUAGGACUGAUUCUGGCUGGAAUUUGUGGUGGCUACGUACCCUAGAGGGCCUCAAGGAAACCCACGGUUCAAGACAGCCCUGACAGAUUCUGGAGUCUAGAACAGAAAUGGAUUUGAACAUGGGCAAGGCCAACCACCCAGUUCACGGCCUGUGUACAGCAAAGAUUACGUUACAGCCUGAGAGCUAAGCCUGGAAGCUCUUUCAUCCAUCCGUUUGUCCAUCUAUCCAUCCAUCUGCUCAUCCAUCCCUCCAUCUGCUCAACAAACGUUAGAGAAUCAAUCCUUGUGUCAGAUACUGGGGCUGCCCUCAAGGAGCUUUUAUAGAGUUCAGGGUACAGCCAGGUGGGGGAGACAGAUCACUAUAAAAACCUACCACUAUAAUCCAAAGGACAAGAGCAAAAAUAGUAAAGAGGAGAGAAGACCCAAAUUUGCCUGGUGGGUCAGAGAGGGCUUUCUAGAAGAGGUAAAAAAUCUUCGGGGCUAUCACUUCACCUUGCCUGGUGGAUAAAGGGAGGACUUUCCAGAUACAGUGGACAGAAUGUGCAGAGGCAGGAGCCAUGAGUGGCAGAGGCAGGGGAGGGACUGCAGAGACAGGUUGGAGCCAAAGCACGUGGCACUGGAGCCAUAGCCAAAGGAACAAACUGUGAGACCUGGGACUUGAAUUUGGAGGUGGUGAAAAGUGACAAGGUCUUCACAGAAGAGUGAUUUUUUCAACUUAGGGAAGGCUGACCCCAGACCAAUGCUGCCAAAGUGUGGUCUGUGGGCUGUUAGCAGUUCGUGACGAUGUAAGUACAGGAAUUGAGAUUAAGCAUUUAGAACACCUACAGCACUUUGAUAGUCAUUUUACUUUUUAAAUUUUGAGCUGGCAUUUUAUAUGCCUGGUUUUUUUUUGUUUUUGUUUUUUUAUUUUUUUUGAGACAGUCUCGCUCUGUCGCCCAGGCUGGAGUGCAGUGGCGCGAUCUCUGCUCACUGCAAGCUCCGCCUCCCGGGUUCACGCCAUUCUCCUGCCUCAUCCUCCCAAGUAGCUGGGACUGCAGGCGCCUGCCGCCUCGCCCAGCUAAUUUUUUGUAUUUUUAAUAGAGACGGGGUUUCACCAUGUUAGCCAGGAUGGUCUCAAUCUCCUGAUCUCGUGAUCUGCCCGCCUUGGCCUCCCAAAAUGCUGGGAUUACAGGUGUGAGCCACCACGCCCAGCCUUAUUCUCUUUUUCUAAUAGUUGCACUUUAUCAUAUUUUACAAAUGUGUGAGUCUGCUAUGGAUUAGAAAUUAAUAAGAGAUUUUGCCACAGAUAGUUUGAGAAGCCCAGCACUGCCACUCAACAAAUGCUGGUGCAUUCAGAUGGUGAAAUAUUCUGCAGCUAUUAAAGGAGUUAAAACUGCCUCCACUUACCUGGAGGCCCAUCUGUGACACCUUUUUAGGUUAAAAGGAAAAGAAAAACUUGCUUAGGACUGAAUAUGAGCGGUUGCAAUUUGUAACAAUGAUGUAUAUAUACAUAUACAUUUUCAUGUAUUUGUAUGAACAUAAAAGUAUUGAAGGAUAUUCAUCAAACUGCUAAAAGGGUUGCUUCAGAGUAACGGACUCGGAGAAGGCAGAUUAAUUUUCUCUUAAUGGAACUCUGUAUUGUAUCACUUGUAAAAAUAAGCAUGUGUUAUCUUUAUGAUAAAAAAGUAAAAACCUAAAAAAGAAAAUUUUGAUGUGUGUUAAAAUUUUGGAUUUCUAGGCUCCACCUUUUUUGAAUGAGUCUCUCCAAGAGUGGGGCCCUCACAUGUAUAAUGAGAAAAAGCUCCCCGAUUACAGGAUGUUACCAAGCCCCGCUAGGUGUAGGAACCCUGCUUGGUACCCACCCGAGCCUCAGCAGCUCCUCCCCAUCAUGGGCAUGAUGAGGUCUCCCUGUGAGGUGUUGUGAAGACGACGGGACAGGCUGCAGUAGGCACUGAAUAAAUGAGUCCCUUCCCCUGAUGACCCUAAGGCUAUGGGAUCAUCAUCACUCCCUCCCCAAAGCCACACCUGAUUAUUCCAGCCAGCACUCGGCCUGCCCCUUUUCUGAAUGCUUUUUGAUUUUAACUUACAUUUUUCGCAUUUAAAUGUUUCAUUUAAUUUGAGAAAGAGUCUCGCUCUGUCACCCAGGCUGGAGUGCAGUGGUGCGAUCUCAGCUCACUGCAGUCUCCACCUCCUGGGUUCAAGCAAUUCUCCUGCCUCAGCCUCCCAAGUAGCUGGGAUUACAGGCGCCCACCACCACAUGUGGCUAAUUUUGUACUUUUAGUAGAGAUGGGAUUUUGCCAUGUUGGCCGGGCUGGUCUCGAACUCCUGACCUCAAGUGAUCCACCUGCCUCAGCCUCCCAAAGUGCUGGGAUUAGAGGUGUGAACCACCACAGCUGCCUUCUUUUAAUUUGUAUUUUCUAUCUCUGCGGACAAGACUUCAAAGGUGUCUAUCACAUACUUUCAGAUCUACUGAUCAUCCUCUGAAAACCAACAUCGGGGUUCACAAAAUGGAUUUAACCAAUUGGGCUCCCCAGUUCUUCUUCCAGACUCCACCCCUCCAACAGUGUCUCCAAUGACUUCCUGGCAUCACUGAACAGGUCCUUCACUUUGCCACCUCUGAGCCUUUGCUUGAGUGUUUUCUUUCCCCUGGAAUAUCCUUUCCAACCCUAUACACCGACUGAGUCAAACCUUCUGUCUUCUUUUUGAGCAUUUAUGAGCUCCUAUCAUGAGCCAUGCAUUAUGUAAGGGACCUUACAAACACAAUCAGUCUAUGUAACAAUCCUGCCAAGUAUGCUUUAUUUUGGGCAUGGGGAAACAGAGGCUCAAGAGAAGUGACCUGCCCCAGGUUUCAGUGCCAGCACACUAGUAGAGCUGGGAUUUGAACCCAGGUUUGUCUUUUGCACUGGAUUCAGCUUCCUUGCAGACCGCAGCACCUCACAUACAGCCCUUCACUGACCAGCAAUUGGAGGGAAACCACCCCUGUGGCUUAAAACCUGUGGUGCCACAGAUCAUUCCACUCAGUCAAACCCCCAAGACCGUAGAAGUGCAUUUAACACAGCAGCUCCUAGGCACAGGAUUGUCACCUCAGGGCAUAUGACUUCUAAAGUUGCAGAUUAUAAACUUGUUCUCUUUCCCUGUCCUCAG
rnacentral:lncRNA from 1 species